rnacentral:rRNA from 1 species
CCUACGGGAGGCAGCAGUAGGGAAUAUUGCACAAUGGGGGAAACCCUGAUGCAGCAACGCCACGUGUGGGAAGAAGCAUUUCGGUGUGUAACCACUGUCAUGAGGGAAUAAGGCCCGCCUCCGGGCGGAUUGAAUGUACCUUGAGAGGAAGCACCGGCAAACUUCGUGCCAGCAGCCGCGGUAAU